AUUGAACGCUGGCGGCAGGCCUAACACAUGCAAGUCGAACGGUAGCACAGAGAGCUUGCUCUCGGGUGACGAGUGGCGGACGGGUGAGUAAUGUCUGGGAAACUGCCCGAUGGAGGGGGAUAACUACUGGAAACGGUAGCUAAUACCGCAUAACGUCGCAAGACCAAAGUGGGGGACCUUCGGGCCUCACACCAUCGGAUGUGCCCAGAUGGGAUUAGCUAGUAGGUGGGGUAAUGGCUCACCUAGGCGACGAUCCCUAGCUGGUCUGAGAGGAUGACCAGCCACACUGGAACGGAGACACGGUCCAGACUCCUACGGGAGGCAGCAGUGGGGAAUAUUGCACAAUGGGCGCAAGCCUGAUGCAGCCAUGCCGCGUGUAUGAAGAAGGCCUUCGGGUUGUAAAGUACUUUCAGCGGGGAGGAAGGCGGUGGAGUUAAUAACUUCACCGAUUGACGUUACCCGCAGAAGAAGCACCGGCUAACUCCGUGCCAGCCGCCGCCGUAA
rnacentral:rRNA from 1 species